CCUACGGGCGGCAGCAGUGGGGAAUAUUGGACAAUGGGGGAAACCCUGAUCCAGCGACGCCGCGUGAGUGAAGAAGUCUUUCGGUACGUAAAGCUCUAUCAGCAGGGAAGAAAAUGACGGUACCUGCCUCCGCAGCCCCGGCUCACUCCGUGCCAGCAGCCGCGGUCAUACGUAGGGGGCAAGCGUUAUCCGGAUUUACUGGGUGUAACGGGAGCGUAGACGGCAGCGCAAGUCUGGAGUGAAAUGCCGGGGCCCAACCCCGGAACUGCUCUGGAAACUGGGAGGCUGGAGUGCAGGAGAGGUAAGCGGAAUUCCGGGUGUAGCGGUGAAAUGCGUAGAUAUCAGGAGGAACACCGGCGGCGAAGGCGGCUUACUGGACGGUAACUGACGUUGAGGCGCGAAGGCGUGGGGAGCAAACAGGAUUAGAUACCCCAGUAGUC
rnacentral:rRNA from 1 species